CCCUCUUAUCCGUUUUCCACCACCGGCAACCUGCUACACCCCGCAACCCCUCUCGCUCUCUCAAGUCUCCCCCCACGCCGCUCGCUCUGCUCCUCCGGUAACCCGCCGGUUGCCCACCACAUCCCCAUAAAACAACCAAGCAAGAACGACCCAGGGUCUACGACCAUCUUCACAAUCCCUCUCUCUCUCUCUCUCUGAAAGUUCCAUGAAGUAUCGCGAGCCAUGAGCUCUCUCACCAAGCUCGGGGCCGCCCUCACGGCGGUCUUCGCUGUCUCCGUCGUGGCCCUGGCCGCUCAGAUCCUCUGGGUCCUGUUGCGCAGCCGAAAGUUCCGGCAGCGGAGCCUCGCGGGCGGCGGCGGCGGCGGAGAGGGACCAUGAAUCCGCCGCCGGGGGCCGUCCACUCGCCUUCGUCGAAGGAGUUGCUCUACUUCUUCUGCUGGAAGAACCAGUCGAGGGUCGAGCCCGCUGCGGCUGCCGGAGCCCGGACGGUGGUCGACGACCCGGACAACGACGACGACGACGGGGACGCGCUGGUCAAGUGGCAGGGGUUGUACGGGCCUCCGAGGCUGCUGUUCACCAUCAAGGAGGAAGAGAGGGAGGACGCCGUGGAUUCCGACUGCGGCAGCAACGCCAAGAGCAAGAGCGGGUCGUCCUCUUGGGAGAAGAUCGACGACAAGAAGAGGGUUUGCCUGAGGGAGUGCCUCGCGGAGGCCGACGACGAGGCUCCGCCGGGCGAAGCGGCGGUGGGCGAAGCGGCGGCGGUCGUCCUGGAGGUGGAGGAGGAGGAGGGGGGGGAGGGGACGACGCCGUUCUCGACGCCGUGCGCGUCGCCGCCGUACUUCACUCCUUCGCCUUCGCCCGCUCCGGAUGAUCGUCUGGCGGAGGUGCCGACGACGGUUGUGGUUGUUUUGGAUGGUCAAAGCCAGCCCCGGGCGGUUGAUCAUGUAAAAAUGGCAGGUGCGGUAUGAGGGGCGAGAUGAUGAUGCUUCGUUUUGUUUUAGGUGAGAAGGCGGCGGCGCGCCUGAGCGUCGACGCCGAUCGCCGGCGGCUUUCGCCGGAGGGAAGACUGAGGUAACCGCCGUUCCGAAGUUUGUUGGACAAUUCGCAAUGUAUGGAUGGAUGGUAGCGUAGAAUAAAAUACGAGUUUAUGGUGAUCGUUCAUUUGACUUUUGUUGACUAAAAAAGUCUUGUUGACCCCGACAUCAGUGGUAUUAUUUUAAAUGGUCUGA